AACAGGGAUUACCUCAGUAACGGCGAGUGAAGCGGUAAAAGCUCAAAUUUGAAAUCUGGCUCUUUCAGAGUCCGAAUUGUAAUUUGUAGAAGAUGCUUCGGGUGUGGUUCCGGUCUAAGUUCCUUGGAACAGGACGUCAUAGAGGGUGAGAAUCCCGUAUGUGACUGGAUACCUAUGCUCAUGUGAAGCUCUUUCGACGAGUCGAGUUGUUUGGGAAUGCAGCUCAAAAUGGGUGGUAUAUUUCAUCUAAAGCUAAAUAUUGGCCAGAGACCGAUAGCGCACAAGUAGAGUGAUCGAAAGAUGAAAAGCACUUUGGAAAGAGAGUUAAACAGUACGUGAAAUUGUUGAAAGGGAAGCGCUUGCAAUCAGACUUGCCCCUAGGCUCCGAUGGUAACUUGUUACCGUUUAUCUGUCUAGGGUCAGGCCAGCAUCAGUUUGGAUGGUUAGAUAAAGGCUUGAAGAAUGUGGCCCUUUUCGGGGGGUGUUAUAGCUUCAGGUGCAAUGUAGCCUAUCUGGACUGAGGACCGCGCUUCGGCUAGGAUGCUGGCGUAAUGGUUGUAAGCGACCCGUCUUGAAACACGGACCA
rnacentral:rRNA from 1 species